rnacentral:rRNA from 1 species
AUUGAACGCUGGCGGCAUGCCUUACACAUGCAAGUCGAACGGCAGCACGGGAGCAAUCCUGGUGGCGAGUGGCGAACGGGUGAGUAAUACAUCGGAACGUACCCAGUAGGUGGGGGAUAGCUCGGCGAAAGCCGGAUUAAUACCGCAUACGACCUACGGGUAGAAAGGCGGGGGAUCGCAAGACCUCGCGCGAUUGGAGCGGCCGAUGGCAGAUUAGGUAGUUGGUGGGGAAAGGCUCACCAAGCCGUCGAUCUGUAGCUGGUCUGAGAGGACGACCAGCCACAC